AUUGAACGCUGGCGGCAGGCUUAACACAUGCAAGUCGAGCGGGGAAGGGUAGCUUGCUACCUGACCUAGCGGCGGACGGGUGAGUAAUGCUUAGGAAUCUGCCUAUUAGUGGGGGACAACAUUCCGAAAGGAAUGCUAAUACCGCAUACGCCCUACGGGGGAAAGCAGGGGAUCUUCGGACCUUGCGCUAAUAGAUGAGCCUAAGUCGGAUUAGCUAGUUGGUGGGGUAAAGGCCUACCAAGGCGACGAUCUGUAGCGGGUCUGAGAGGAUGAUCCGCCACACUGGGACUGAGACACGGCCCAGACUCCUACGGGAGGCAGCAGUGGGGAAUAUUGGACAAUGGGCGGAAGCCUGAUCCAGCCAUGCCGCGUGUGUGAAGAAGGCCUUUUGGUUGUAAAGCACUUUAAGCGAGGAGGAGGCUACUAGUAUUAAUACUACUGGAUAGUGGACGUUACUCGCAGAAUAAGCACCGGCUAACUCUGUGCCAGCAGCCGCGGUAACAC
rnacentral:rRNA from 1 species